GGCGCGGGUCUGCGGGCCGUUCAGACACCGGAAUCAUAAUCCGCAGGUCCCCUGUUCGAAUCAGGGAUGCGCCACCA
rnacentral:tRNA from 1 species